GGUUUUUCAGGAACCAAAAAGCGCCAUUACGCCCGGUCAAGCGGUUGUGUUUUAUUGUGGAGAUGAGGUUUUGGGAGG
rnacentral:tRNA from 1 species